CGCGUAGGCGGACCUGCAAGUCGGGGGUGAAAGCCCGAGGCUCAACCUCGGAACUGCCUUCGAUACUGCGGGUCUCGAGUCCGGGAGAGGUGAGUGGAAUUCCUAGUGUAGAGGUGAAAUUCGUAGAUAUUAGGAAGAACACCAGUGGCGAAGGCGGCUCACUGGCCCGGUACUGGCGCUGAGGCGCGAAAGCGUGGGGAAGCAAACA
rnacentral:rRNA from 1 species